AUUGAACGCUGGCGGCAUGCCUUACACAUGCAAGUCGAACGGCAGCGGGGGAGAAGCUUGCUUUUCCUGCCGGCGAGUGGCGAACGGGUGAGUAAUACAUCGGAACGUGCCCUGCAGUGGGGGAUAACUAGUCGAAAGAUUAGCUAAUACCGCAUACGACCUGAGGGUGAAAGGGGGGGACCGUAAGGCCUCAUGCUAUAGGAGCGGCCGAUGUCUGAUUAGCUAGUUGGUGGGGUAAAGGCCUACCAAGGCGACGAUCAGUAGCUGGUCUGAGAGGACGAUCAGCCACACUGGGACUGAGACACGGCCCAGACUCCUACGGGAGGCAGCAGUGGGGAAUUUUGGACAAUGGGCGAAAGCCUGAUCCAGCAAUGCCGCGUGUGUGAAGAAGGCCUUCGGGUUGUAAAGCACUUUUGUCCGGAAAGAAAUGGCUCUGGUUAACACCUGGGGUCGAUGACGGUACCGGAAGAAUAAGGACCGGCUAACUACGUGCCAGCAGCCGCAGUAA
rnacentral:rRNA from 1 species